rnacentral:rRNA from 1 species
UGGGGAAUAUUGCACAAUGGGCGAAAGCCUGAUGCAGCGACGCCGCGUGAGGGAUGACGGCCUUCGGGUUGUAAACCUCUUUCAGCAGGGAAGAAGCGAAAGUGACGGUACCUGCAGAAUAAGCCCCGGCUAACUUCGUGCCAGCAGCCGCGGUAAGACGAAGGGGGCUAGCGUUGUUCGGAAUUACUGGGCGUAAAGCGAGUGUAGGCGGUUGCCCAAGUCAGGUGUGAAAGCCUUGAGCUCAACUCAAGAAAUGCACUUGGUACUGGGUGGCUAGAGGACCGGAGAGGAUAGUGGAAUUCCCAGUGUAGUGGUGAAAUACGUAGAGAUUGGGAAGAACACCAGUGGCGAAGGCGGCUAUCUGGACGGUUACUGUCGCUAAGACUCGAAAGCGUGGGGAGCAAAC